rnacentral:rRNA from 1 species
UUUUACCACGGUGGUGGUGGUGGUGAUACAGCUGACACGUUCAGUUCCACGCGGUCGUCGGAACGUUGACCGUUCGACAAGCCGUAGAUGAAGGUCGGCUCAAAAGCAGUACGCCACUAGCAGGGUACGUUACAAUCCAACUUUAAGUUGUUCGACUGUCCUCUGUGACACUGUAAACUCCGAGGACCCCCCAGCAUGUGAUACCUCCAGCUCUUUCCUGCGUUAUACAGCGUCUAACCUCCUCUACCUACCCGGGC